UGGUUAUCAUUUGACUGCUUGUUGG
rnacentral:piRNA from 1 species